CAAUCAAGGCAUCGUUCUGAGACCUGCACUGGAAUACCGCGUCGAGUCCUUGCUCAUCCCCACGAAUGCUUUGGGUUUCGCUGUGAUGUGUGUGCAGCUGUAUAUGGGCCUGUUGGGGCUGAUACAGCAGUCAUUCUUUCCAAGAAAUCUUUGAUCUGCUGAAAGGUGACUACAAAGCUGAUAGCCAAGGUUGGUCUCGAAUGCCUGGGCUCAAGCCAUCCUCCACUUUGGCCUACCAAAGUGCUGGACUAACAGUGAUGAGCCACCGCACCUGGCCUGCCCAGCCUCUUUUUUGCAAGGAAGCCCUGUCGUGCAAGGGAAGGUCAGACGGAUGAGAUUCCGGUUGGUCCCUCUAGCUAAGCUGUUCCGCACGGCGAGUGUAUGGGAACGAGGCUGCUUUGAGCUAACUUUGCCAACGCUCUGCUGGUGAGCACGUUUCUGCACUGUUGAGCUGACAGCUGAAAUCUGUCCUCCUCCUGCGUGUGAUGUCAGCUGUGGGCCAGCCUGGCAGUUAUGAAGAGAAGAAGAGGGGACAGCUAGGGGGAAGAGGAAGCAUGUUACGAUUGUGACCAGACCGGCUGAAACUGUGUGUCAUGUGUCACAAACCCCACGGCCUGGCAGAUCUCCGUGGAGGGAGCUUUGCCUACUCGCAUGACAUAUCUAAAGGCUCACGGGAGGCCAGCCCGCACCUGUAAGUCUCCUGGCUGACGUGCGACCAGGCAGCCUCCAGAGAGAGAGAGAGAGGGAAAUGGGCAAGAGCUGAGACUCCAGCAGCAGCAGGAAAUGGGCUGCGUUGCAGACAGCCGGCGCCACCAAGAGUUAUUUCUAAAAUCUGGGUUCGAUUAUGAUGUGCAGUCAGGUACAAACUGACAGACGAACAACUUUCUCCCAUCUCGCGGCUGCUCCUUGUUUACAGUGCUUUCAGACUCCAUGGAAGUUUCUCUAAAGGCACCUGUGUGGUGUCUCAUAAGAGUCCGGGCUGCCAAGCGCCUCCCGUGUCAUUUCUAACAGGUGUGGAAGGUGAAAGGAAGGAACAUGAAGGAAAAGAUAAGACACGAAGAGAAGGAGCCAUGUGGAAAAACCUGGAGUGCAGAAGUGUUCGUCUGAAAGGCUACGAUGACCGUGAUGAGUAAAUUAUUUUAUUCCUACCAUUAUACAAUAAAAUACUAUCCAGUUCUUGUGUUUAUAGGAGAACAAAUGACUGUUUCUCUAUUUCCAUUCAUCUUCUAUUUUUAAAAUAAAAACUUUAUAUAAGCAUAGGAUACUUAAAAGGACCAAGAUAUAUUUUGGCUUGUGUUUACAUAGGGACAUGUUUGAAAACAUAGCAUUUUUUAAUUGGUAAAAUAGGUAAAAACAACUGGAGAGGAAGUUUCAUGCUUGGCAGAGAUGAUAUUGAAAUAUUCAAUGCACCGGGCAUGGUGGCUCA